UACAGAGGGUGCGAGCGUUAAUCGGAGUUACUGGGCGUAAAGGGCGCGUAGGCGGCUUUGUAAGUUAGAUGUGAAAUCCCUGGGCUUAACCUAGGAAUGGCAUCUAAGACUGUAGAGCUAGAGUAUUGUAGAGGGUAGUGGAAUUUCCGGUGUAGCGGUGAAAUGCGUAGAGAUCGGAAGGAACACCAGUGGCGAAGGCGGCUACCUGGACAAAUACUGACGCUGAGGCGCGAGAGCGUGGGGAGCAAACAGG
rnacentral:rRNA from 1 species